UCUUUUUUUAAUUAACGAAUUUUUUUAUAAUUUCGCUAAGUUCGAUGUUUUACAUCAAUCAAAUAGAUAUAAUAAAAUUUUCUUUUGAGCC